GGGGAAUAUUGCACAAUGGGGGGAACCCUGAUGCAGCGACGCCGCGUGAGUGAAGAAGUAUUUCGGUAUGUAAAGCUCUAUCAGCAGGGAAGAAAAUGACGGUACCUGACUAAGAAGCCCCGGCUAACUAC
rnacentral:rRNA from 1 species